rnacentral:rRNA from 1 species
UGUAGCUGGCUUCGGCACGUGCACGCCCCGAUCGCAAAUUUCACCCUUCACACACCUGUGCACACAUGUAGCUUUGCGACGCUCUGCGUCCUUGGCUGCGAGCUUUUAUCACACACACACAUACUUCAGAUGUAACUGUAGCAGCGUUUAAAAAGCGCGAAACAAUACAACUUUCAGCAACGGAUCUCUUGGCUCUCGCAUCGAUGAAGAACGCAGCGAAAUGCGAUAAGUAAUGUGAAUUGCAGAAUUCAGUGAAUCAUCGAAUCUUUGAACGCACCUUGCGCUCCUUGGUAUUCCGAGGAGCAUGCCUGUUUGAGUGUCAUGAAAUUCUCAACUGCCUUUAUGGGUGAAGUUGGACUUGGAGGAUGAUUUUGCUGGCGGCUCUUCAAUGAGCUUUGUCGGCUCCUCUCGAAAGCAUGAGCCUUCCUGUGCACUAUUGCGAAGCGAAUCUGGUGUGAUAAUUAUCUACGUCGGACGUCGCGUUUGCUUUGUGCAUGAACGGAUUGUGCAGAACGCGUGUCUUUAGGGAUGCGCCCUUGACCAAAUUCGACCUCAAAUCAGGUAGGACUACCCGCUGAACUUAAGCAUAUC